rnacentral:rRNA from 1 species
AUACGAAAGGUGCAAGCGUUGUUCGGAUUUACUGGGCGUAAAGAGAGUGUAGGUUGUUGAUUAAGUCGGAUGUGAAAUCCCGGGGCUCAACCUCGGAACUGCAUUCGAUACUGGUAGACUAGAGUUCGGGAGGGGUAAGCGGAAUUCCGUGUGUAGCAGUGAAAUGCGUAGAUAUACGGAGGAACACCUGAGGCGAAGGCGGCUUACUGGACCGAUACUGACACUGAGACUCGAAAGCGUGGGUAGCAAACAGGAUUAGAAACCCUAGUAGUCC